UACGUAGGUGGCAAGCGUUGUCCGGAUUUAUUGGGUUUAAAGGGUGCGUAGGCGGUCCUAUAAGUCAGUGCUGAAAUAUCCCGGCUUAACCGGGAGGGUGGCAUUGAUACUGUUGGACUUGAGUAAAGUUGAGGUUGGCGGAAUUGACGGUGUAGCGGUGAAAUGCGCAGAUAUCAGGAGGAACACCUGUGGCGAAAGCGGCUCACUGGACCACAACUGACGCUGAGGCGCGAAAGCUAGGGAGCAAACAGG
rnacentral:rRNA from 1 species